rnacentral:rRNA from 1 species
UACGUAGGGGGCUAGCGUUGUCCGGAUUUAUUGGGCGUAAAGAGCGUGUAGGCGGCCAUGUAGGUCCGGUGUGAAAUCUCGAGGCUUAACCUCGAGAUGUCAUCGGAAACCAUUUGGCUAGAGUCCGGAAGAGGAGAGUGGAAUUCCUGGUGUAGCGGUGAAAUGCGCAGAUAUCAGGAAGAACACCAAUGGCGAAAGCAGCUCUCUGGGACGGUACUGACGCUGAGACGCGAAAGCGUGGGGAGCGAACAGG